CUGAUGGCGAUAUCAUAUGUUGGUUGUUUGUUGCUGAGAGUGAGACAGGCAGUUUUGGAAAACAACCCUAGGACACAGCCAAGACAAUGCAGGAGUUUUUUUGGGACAAGUCUCAAUGUCCUUGAGUGACCCAGCCAGAGCCUGGACCUGUUCGAACAUCUCUGGAGAGACCUGAACAUUUCUGUGCAGCGACGCUCCCAUCCAACUUGACAGAGCUUGAGAGAGAAACUACCCAAAUACAGGUUCCGUCCUUUCUAGGGUGUUGUUCCUAGCCACCGUGCUCCUACACCCGCAUUGCUUGUUGUUUGGGGUUUUAGGCUGGGUUUCUGUGCAGCACUUUGUGACAUAGGCUGAUGUAAAAAUGGCUUGAAAUACAUAUGAUCGAUUGGUUAUGUAAAUGUGAUAUUGAAGUUUUUUAUUCAUGAAUACAUUUC